AUAAGACAAAAUUUUACUGGAUAGCUGUCCAAUAGAUACAAGGAAGGCGGGCUAUUAUCCAACAGGGAAAUAGUGGUUUGCAGUGAGUUGUAUGCGACUUUGUUUGUGCUGUGUUCACCUCCUAGGAUUCCCUGCAGUAGUUACACCGCCUGAAUAAUCAAAAUGUGGAAUCCAAAUCAAGGUCAACCUGGUCCAUACCCUGGAGGUCCAAUGCCCUCUAACCCUUCAUAUCCUUCAGGUCAUGUCCCCUGGUUAUCCCCCAGGCAGUAACCCUGCUUACCCACCUGGCAUGGGUCCUACUGGCCCUUAUGGUCCCUCAGGGCAACAUCCAUUUCCACCUGCACACCCCUCUUACCCUGGAGGCCAACCCAGUGCACCCUCUUACCCUGGAAGUAUU